GCUCUCCUCCCGGCCCUCUGGGCUUUGUUGGGUGGCACAGCCUGUGCCAAGGGGGGCCAAGGUGCCCCAGGCCCCAGCUCUGGGGGAGACAGAGAACGGCCUGGCCGUAUCCAGCGAGCUGCCAGCUCAGCAGUGGAGCACAGCACGGGCUCACACUCCCCAUUGCUCCCACAGAUGCAGCCGGCACCUCAACACAUGUUCCCAAUUCCCAGAAGGGCAUUUUAAGCAGUGGCUGUCGGGGAACACGCUGUUUUUCUGAUUUAAUGGCAAUUGUGGCUGGUGGGGAGCUUGUCUUCAUAUUGUGCUGUCUUGGAAUCUGGUAUUGCUGGAAGAGAAAACGGAGCACCUCUGGAAAGCAGAUGAAAGACGGCAGCAACACCUCACACUCUUGACUGUUUCUCCAGCAGAAAUCAGGGCCUGGGCAGCCCUUGCAAAGGCUCUGAGAAGACGACUCCAAAACGACCAUCUGCGAGGACCCCUCCUAUUACCCUGUAGAUCCCAUUGCCACCUCUUCUCCCCAUGGAUAUCCCCAAGCAGCCCUCACACCAGGACCAUCUGCGAGGACCCCUCCUAUUACCCUGUAGAUCCCAUUGCCACCUCUUCUCCCCAUGGAUAUCCCCAAGCAGCCCUCACACCAGUUUUUAACUCCUUCUGCCCCAUCCCAGCCCAUUCCCAUGUUCUUCAAGAGACCCCAGCACCAGCCCAGCACCCUCCAGCCCCAGCUGAGAACAACACAGCCCUUCCUCUGCCCCUUAGACCCCUGGCCCUGCCCUCUAAACAACACUGAACCUGAUCCCUCCCCCCAUCCCCACCUGGGUAGGCGAUGGCCCAUUGUUCUGUUCCAAUAAAGAGAUAGAGCUGUCACCCCAGUGUCCGUGUGCUACCACCAGCAAAGCCCACACAGCACCAACACUGGCUGAGCUCCAUGUCCAGGAGCAGCCAUGGAUGCCCACGGUGCGA
rnacentral:lncRNA from 12 species